UGUGAAAUUGUUGAAAGGGAAACGCUUGAAGUCAGUCGCGUUGGCUGGGGAUCAACCUUGCUUCUUGCUUGGCUUACUUCCCAGUUGACGGGUCAGCAUCAGUUUUGACCGGUGGAUAAAGGUCAGGGGAAUGUGGCACCCUCGGGUGUGUUAUAGCCUCUGGUCAUAUACAUUGGUUGGGACUGAGGAACUCAGCACUUGUGCUUAGGAUGCUGGCAUAAUGGUUAAGGGAAUGUGGCACCUCCGGGUGUGUUAUAGCCCUUGGUCAUAUACAUUGGUUGGGACUGAGGAACUCAGCACUUGUGCUUAGGAUGCUGGCAUAAUGGCUUUAAGCGACCCGUCUU
rnacentral:rRNA from 1 species